CUUAUGUUUGUACUGAUCAAUUGAACAACUUAACUGCGCAAUAUUGUUUCUCAUGAAUACUCAUAAGUUAUAGAAGAUGUUUGAUACAUCUUCUAUUCAAACAACUAUUUUAAAUUUAUUUAAGGCGGAGACAGGUUCCCUUAUAUGGGCAACUAUUUCCACGAUCGUGAGCGGCAUUAUCGGUCUAAUAUGCACUACCUACCUUAUCUAUAUCAAUUGGGAACAUCACCACAUCAAACAUCCAGGAACAGGUUUGGCAGAAGUGGGUUAUAUGGGUGUGAAUCUUGCGGUCGCUAUCACUUUAAUUCUGAGUGGCUUUGAGUUCACAUUCUCCACUUUAUUGCUCGUGGGUAUCGUUAAAAAAAACGCUGGCUAUGUAAAAUCAUACUUCACGUAUGGUGUCGUUAAAACAAUACUUGCUGGUUUGGUCGUGACCAACACGAUACUUGAGACUCGCAUAGACGCGAUGUUUUUUAAAAUUGCAAUGAUUUUUGCGCUACAUUCCUUAAUCCUCCUGAUGGUCCGUAAUACUUACCUUAAGUUUAAAGCUAAUUGUUGUAUGGAGAAAACCUUACUUUAGGAAAAUAGAAAAUAUUUCAAAAAAUCGUACAAAUCUAUAUAGUAGUAGCUUUUUCCAAACUAUUAUUAUAUUACUAGUAAACCAUUUCCAAUUUGUACCUACAUAUAUAACAGGCUAUAUCUACAGAUUUCGAGUCAUGUUCGGUACAUCCAAAACAAUGUUAAUAAUUAUUGCUACGAAAUGAAUUAUACAGUUUGUUUGCAUUUUUA